rnacentral:lncRNA from 1 species
CGAUAGGUUCUUGGCCCACCCCUUCCCGUACUCCCCAUAGAUCUGCCACUCCAAUGUUUCACUAAGUAAAUACCAGCGUGGGCCGAUAAUCAACGAUGAUGUAUCAUCCCACCUUCUUUCUGUAAUGUACACGUUACAUACGCUUCAAGUAGUGAAAGACUCUAAUAAUUCACGAGUCUUCUUAUUUACAAAGACCAUAGUUAGCUACUUUGCAAAUAAUUACCAAUUACUGUCUUGAUGUUAUUAAUCUGCUUUUAUUGUAGAUGUUCUAACGGCAUAAAACUUGUUAUCUUGGCGUGAAUCAAAGGAGAAAUCGGAAGGAAAACGAUACAAUUUGAAUUAAUUCGGAAUUUGUUAUCAUAAUGGGACGAAUAUAGGAACUUGAGACAUGAAUAGCUUAGAUUAGCUAUUGAAUGUCAAAGUGUCUCGAGAUAGNUGUUGAACUUAUCUUUUGAUAGCCGUUAUGGUAGUGUCAAAAGACAAAUGAGUUUAGGAAACGAUGUAAAAACAUUUGCGAAAUAUUAGUCAUUGUGUAAUGAUUACUUGAUCCCACGCCAGAGAAUCAGAUAAGCUAUUCUCUUUCUUUUUUUCUCUUCCGAUUCACCCAUUUCUUUUGCUUUGCCGUUAUGCUUUCACACUUUAAACUAUCUGAAAAUAUGUCGUUUUUUAAGCACUGGGUACAGCUAACUCUUACAUGGAAUUGAANUUUGUGUUGGGUUUUGCGGAGGCGCAGAAACCGGAGAAAAACCGCCCCGAAUCAAGAGAGAGACCCAACAAACUCUACUCAUAUGUGAUGCUGAAUCCAAGAAUCCAACACCAGACCCCAGAGUCCUCGUCCAAGACCGUGAUGAAAUUAAUUGAAGCUAUUGUCAACUAUAAACUGCCUCCUUAUUCAUGCUAUUUGCCUUGAGGUCUGACGAUUCUGUCUCGUUUGCCUUCGUAGUCUGGCAGGAUAACAAUUCCCGAUAAAAUCUUCAGUUAUAUGGAAAUUGAAAUAUUUGACACGUUUUAUUACAUGUUGAUAUUUUCUCAGAAAAAUGAAUAUAUCUACGAAAUGCUAUCCCAAAUAGAAUUGAUAAUAUUAAUACAAUGGGUUUAUCAGAUAAUUAUUUUUUUCCUGAUAAUCACUUAAAAGNUCUAUUUUGGAAAUUGGAUUGGGUAAAAUCCACCAGAGUCGAAAUUGUUGUCCGAAGACUAGGAGUUUCAUAAAGUAUUUCUAAGUUCAGCAUAAAAACGCUGGUAAAGUAUUGAUGGGUUACAAGCAUUCCCAAGAGAGUCUUUUGUUAAAUGGUACCAACAUGGCCACGAUGACGUAACGUGCAAUCGAAGAAUACUGUUGAUAAAACAGUUGAAAUAAUUCUGAAUUAAGAUGUCAAGAUUUUUGGGAAAAUAUAUUCAUUCUCUUGAGAAAUAUAAGAAGUGGGUAACAUUUUGGAAUGCUUUUUUGAUAAAAUACGGCCAAUAAAUAUCGCAUGACUUAAUCAUUCGAAAUAAAAUCUUUCAUUAUUUGUUGAAAAGGGCUUUCAAGUGCUCAAAUGGAACUGUUGAAUUAGAUUUGGACAGUUUUGAUAAGAUAUGUUAGCACCAGUCAUGUUGCUGGGAUACUAAAACUACACGUUAUACAAGCAAGCCGAAACGGUCUUUAAUAUCACUAAGACGACUAACUCUCUCAGACUACAGGAACAACAGUCACAAUCAAGCCAAGGAACUUUCAAAAUGUAUCAAGCGUUGUUUUUUGUGGAAAUUCUCCUCGUAUCCUUAUGCUAUGG